UACAGCGAAACUGCGAAUGGCUCAUUAUAUAAGUUACUCUUUAUAUUUGAUAGUGCCUUACUACUUGGAUAACCGUGGUAAUUCUAGAGCUAAUACAUGCUAAAAACCCCGACUUCGGAAGGGGUGUAUUUAUUAGAUACAAAACCAAUGCCCUUCGGGGCUCUUUGGUGAUUCAUGAUAACUAUACGAAUCGCACGGCCUUGCGCCGGCGAUGGUUCAUUCAAAUUUCUUCCCUAUCAACUUUCGAUGUUUGGGUAUUGGCCAAACAUGGUUGCAACGGGUAACGGAGGGUUAGGGCUCGACCCCGGAGAAGGAGCCUGAGAAACGGCUACUACAUCCAAGGAAGGCAGCAGGCGCGCAAAUUACCCAAUCCCGACUCGGGGAGGUAGUGACAAUAAAUACUGAUACAGGGCCCUUUCGGGCCUUGUAAUUGGAAUGAGUACACCCUCACUCCCUUAACGAGGAACAAUUGGAGGGCAAGUCUGGUGCCAGCAGCCGCGGUAAUUCCAGCUCCAAUAGCGUAUAU
rnacentral:rRNA from 1 species